rnacentral:rRNA from 1 species
UACGGAGGGGGCCAGCGUUGUUCGGAAUUAUUGGGCGUAAAGGGCGCGUAGGCUGUCUGGUAAGUCGGUUGUGAAAUCCCUCGGCUCAACCGAGGAAUCGCGACCGAAACUGCCGGGCUUGAGUCCCGGAGAGGGUAGCGGAAUUCCCAGUGUAGCGGUGAAAUGCGUAGAUAUUGGGAGGAACACCAGUGGCGAAGGCGGCUACCUGGACGGGUACUGACGCUGAUGCGCGAAAGCGUGGGGAGCAAACAGG